ACAAAAGAGAUAAAGAAGCGUGGAAGUGAUACAAGUGUAGGUCAUUAUUAUUAUUUUCCUCUUAUAAACAAACCCGCUUUCCCAUUCAUCAGUUUACCACUUGUCGGGUGCAAGACCAUCUUAUGCGAAUGCGAGAUAAAAUUAUCGGUUGACAAAUAACAGCGAAUGUGGAUAUUUUUAUGCAAAACGCGACCAUUUAACGCAAGUGUGGGUUAAGAUUAGCAAACGGGAGAGCGUUUUAUGCAAACGUGAGGUAAAACUUGCAAACGCAAGCGCGUUGUAGGUUUGUAUGCGGAUUCACGGCAAAAGUAGCGAACGCGAGAGUCUUUUACGCAAACGUGGGCUACGAAUAACAAACGCAAAAGCAUUUAACGCAAACACAAAUCGGUCUAAUUAGCCAUCGUGAGCGUGGUGUUUUAUGCCAACGACGGUUCAAACUAGCAAAUGCGAGAGCUUUUUAAUGCAGGUUUGAAAGGCAGGACGAAGGAACACGAGAAUAAUUUCACGUAAACGUGAGCACCAACACGUAGCGAACGCAAAAGCACGUUAAGCAUCAAACUAUUGAGCGGGAGGGCAUUUUACACGAAUGUGGAGUAAAACGAAUAAACACGAGAACAGCAUGUGAAAGCGUUUCACGUGAAUGUAAGUUAAUACGAGUAUAAAUUUUAUGCAAAUGAAAGAGGUAGAACUUGCAAAUGUGAGAGCGCAUGUGUGUGUGAGUGAGAGAGAGAGAGAGAGAGAGAGAGAGAGAGAGAGAGAGAGAGAGAGAGAGAGAACAAGCAGAUAGUGGGAUCAGAGCCAGGGUGUAUUAAUAGCAGAGACAUUUUGGUGCAAGCAGCAGCUUGUGCCUCAGCUGCUUCAGUCACUCUCUCGGUUUCCAGCAUACAGCUACACUUUUCCUCUGCGAUCAUACCAUCAUAUCGCACCUCUCACGCACUCCUACCAGCUGUCUUACACUCCUGAUCUCCUUCUCAUCAUCCUUUGAAGUUCAACCCCCUUCUUCUCCCAGCAGUCGCUCCAUAUUAAUGGCACUUCAAGGACUUCAAGCUUGUACGCUCUCAUCAAUAUAAACAGGGUCUCGUCAAAGCCGCCCCCAGAUAUUCCAUCCAUCCAUCCUCAGCGAGAUGACUCGCAUACCGCCGUGUUUCAUAACUCAUCUCACACACCAAUCAGCAGGAGACACGCGCCGCAGCACAAAUCGCCCGGGGAUUCUGUUUACCAAAAACAGUCGUAAAGAAAAAUCCAUUUCAAACUGUUUAUUAUUUCCACAUUCUUCAGGAAAAAAAGAGAACAAUUAAAAUACAAAAAAGGAAAGAAAAAAAUAAAUAAAUCAAAAGCUUGAUUUAAACCAUAUAGAUAACAUGUCCUAAAUCACCAAGUUACAUAAAAAUUCCGUAAUUAAAAAAAAAAAAAAAGUCAGCUAUUUAAGUGGGAAAACAACAAAUUCUACCUUUUCUUUUUAAACCAAGUAUGUUUGAGCUGUGAUCCUGCCCUUAAAAAUCUUAAAAUGAAGCAAACGUUCCAUCACGCGAUCAGAGGCAAUCGAGCCAGCGAAUAAACUAACCAAAUAACCACAAAUUUAAAAACAUCAAUAAAAUUAUUAAAAACACAGCUAAAGAUGAACAAACAGUCCAGAUUGUAAACGUUUCCUAAAUCAAAAGACAUUUUCUUUCAUCAGUACAGCUCGAAAAGGCAACAGCGGACGACUCGUCCGAAUAAAAACAGGCUACUAAGAUUACGCUGGAUGACUUUAGGGCUCCAAGCAAAAAAGUAUGCCGCCUGAUUUCAGUCCUCGGGUCUGGGGUAUUUUCCACUAUUAAAAAAGUGAACGGUGGUCACGUUUGUAUUUUUUUAACGCUAACUGAUCUCUUACUCGGGAGUUUUAUGCUCGGGGAACUGAAAGCUGUGAAGAUUUGUCGGAUCGUGCGGCGGUUAGGUAUACGCAAGGCUGUACAUUCGGUUCCGUCUCGGUGACUUAACUUCAGUUUUCGUUUAAAAAAAUUAAAAAUAAAAUAAUGAUAAUAAAAAAAAAAA